rnacentral:tRNA from 1 species
GCGGGUAUAGUACAAAGGCUAGUACAUCGCCUUGCCAUGGCGAUGAUACGGGUUCGAUUCCCGUUACCCGCU